AGUGAACGCUGGCGGUAGGCCUAACACAUGCAAGUCGAACGGCAGCACAGUAAGAGCUUGCUCUUACGGGUGGCGAGUGGCGGACGGGUGAGGAAUACAUCGGAAUCUACUUUUUCGUGGGGGAUAACGUAGGGAAAAUUACGCUAAUACCGCAUAGCACCUACGGGUGAAAGCAGGGGAUCUUCGGACCUUGCGCGAUUGAAUGAGCCGAUGUCGGAUUAGCUAGUUGGCGGGGUAAAGGCCCACCAAGGCGACGAUCCGUAGCUGGUCUGAGAGGAUGAUCAGCCACACUGGAACUGAGACACGGUCCAGACUCCUACGGGAGGCAGCAGUGGGGAAUAUUGGACAAUGGGCGCAAGCCUGAUCCAGCCAUACCGCGUGGGUGAAGAAGGCCUUCGGGUUGUAAAGCCCUUUUGUUGGGAAAGAAAAGCAGCAGGUUAAUACCCCGCUGUUCUGACGGUACCCAAAGAAUAAGCACCGGCUAACUUCGUG
rnacentral:rRNA from 1 species